AGCUUUGCGCAAUGGCAGUAUCAUAGCCAAUGAGGUUUAACCAAGGUGCGAUUACUGCUAAUUGAAAACUUUUCCCAAUACUCCACCAUGACGACUUGAAAUAUAUUCGGCAUUGGCAAUUUUUGACAAUCUCUACAGAGA